UGGGGAAUAUUGCACAAUGGGCGCAAGCCUGAUGCAGCGACGCCGCGUGAGGGAUGACGGCCUUCGGGUUGUAAACCUCUUUCAGCAGGGACGAAGCGCGAGUGACGGUACCUGCAGAAGAAGCACCGGCCAACUACGUG
rnacentral:rRNA from 1 species